rnacentral:rRNA from 1 species
CAAAUUUUGAAAGCUGGCGUCUUCGGCGUCCGCAUUGUAAUCUCGAGAAGUGUUUUCCGCGUUGGACCAUGUACAAGUUCCUUGGAACAGGACGUCAUAGAGGGUGAGAAUCCCGUACUUGACAUGGAUGCCCAACGCUUUGUGAUACGCUCUCCACGAGUCGAGUUGUUUGGGAAUGCAGCUCAAAAUGGGUGGUAAAUUCCAUCUAAAGCUAAAUAUUGGGGAGAGACCGAUAGCGAACAAGUACCGUGAGGGAAAGAUGAAAAGCACUUUGGAAAGAGAGUUAAACAGUACGUGAAAUUGUUGAAAGGGAAGCGCUUGAAGUCAGACAUGCUGCUGAGACUCAACCUUGGUUUUCCUUGGUGUACUUCUCAGUUGGCAGGCCAGCAUCAGUUUUGGCUGUUGGAUAAGGGUAGGAGGAAUGUGGCAUCCUCGGAUGUGUAUAGCCUCUUACUGAUACAAC